rfam:Camelus ferus unplaced genomic scaffold scaffold2139, whole genome shotgun sequence.
GAGGGUAUAGUUAAGUGGUAGAGCGCAAGCUUAGCAUGUGAGAGGUCCUGGGUUCAACCCCCAGUAUCUCCA